UUUUUUACAAGCUAGUGACCAAGAAAAAAGAAGCAACGAAAAAUGUUAUGUAUGCAUCGGCUAUUUUUUCCCCAUAAAUGAUUGAGAUUUUAUUCAAAGAGAAACUGGGAUACAAACCAAGCAAAAAAAAAAGAAUAUAAAUAGACAAAGGACUUAAAAAAAAAAGAGGAUGACUGGAAAAAAACCAUGGAGAAAAAAGAAUAACCCCCUUGCACACAUCCUAGCAAGGAAAAACACCAAC
rnacentral:lncRNA from 1 species